GUUUAUAUAGUUUAAAUUAAAACCCUUCAUUUUCAAUGAAGAAAUAAGAAAUUAAAAUCUUUUUAAAUACU
rnacentral:tRNA from 1 species